rnacentral:rRNA from 1 species
UACGUAGGGCGCAAGCGUUGUCCGGAAUUAUUGGGCGUAAAGAGCUCGUAGGCGGCUAGUCACGUCGGGUGUGAAAGCCCGGGGCUUAACCCCGGGUCUGCAUUCGAUACGGGCUAGCUAGAGUGUGGUAGGGGAGAUCGGAAUUCCUGGUGUAGCGGUGAAAUGCGCAGAUAUCAGGAGGAACACCGGUGGCGAAGGCGGAUCUCUGGGCCAUUACUGACGCUGAGGAGCGAAAGCGUGGGGAGCGAACAGG